rnacentral:rRNA from 1 species
AUUGAACGCUGGCGGCAUGCUUUACACAUGCAAGUCGAACGGUAGAGGGGGCAACCCCUUGAGAGUGGCGAACGGGUGAGUAAUGCAUCGGAACGUGCCCAGUCGUGGGGGAUAACGCAGCGAAAGCUGUGCUAAUACCGCAUACGAUCUCUGGAUGAAAGCGGGGGACCGAAAGGCCUCGCGCGAUUGGAGCGGCCGAUGUCAGAUUAGGUAGUUGGUGGGGUAAAGGCUCACCAAGCCAACGAUCUGUAGCUGGUCUGAGAGGACGACCAGCCACACUGGGACUGAGACACGGCCCAGACUCCUACGGGAGGCAGCAGUGGGGAAUUUUGGACAAUGGGGGCAACCCUGAUCCAGCAAUGCCGCGUGCAGGAAGAAGGCCUUCGGGUUGUAAACUGCUUUUGUACGGAACGAAACGGUCCUUUCUAAUACAGAGGGCUAAUGACGGUACCGUAAGAAUAAGCACCGGCUAACUACGUGCCAGCCGCCGCCGUAA